GAUGAACGCUGGCGGCGUGCCUAAUACAUGCAAGUCGAGCGAACGGACGAGAAGCUUGCUUCUCUGAUGUUAGCGGCGGACGGGUGAGUAACACGUGGAUAACCUACCUAUAAGACUGGGAUAACUUCGGGAAACCGGAGCUAAUACCGGAUAAUAUUUUGAACCGCAUGGUUCAAAAGUGAAAGACGGUCUUGCUGUCACUUAUAGAUGGAUCCGCGCUGCAUUAGCUAGUUGGUAAGGUAACGGCUUACCAAGGCAACGAUGCAUAGCCGACCUGAGAGGGUGAACGGCCACACUGGAACUGAGACACGGUCCAGACUCCAACGGGAGGCAGCAGUAGGGAAUCUUCCGCAAUGGGCGGAAACCUGACGGAGCAACGCCGCGUGAGUGAUGAAGGUCUUCGGAUCGUAAAACUCUGUUAUUAGGGAAGAACAUAUGUGUAAGUAACUGUGCACAUCUUGACGGUACCUAGUCAGAAAGCAACGGCUAACUACGUG
rnacentral:rRNA from 1 species